rnacentral:rRNA from 1 species
AGAGUUUGAUCCUGGCUCAGAACGAACGCUGGCGGCGUACCUAACACAUGCAAGUCGAGAUCCUUAAGUGGCUUGCCAUUUAAGGAGAGUGGCGAACGGGUGAGUAACACGUGAGUAAUCUGCCCUCGAGUGGGGAACAACCUCGCGAAAGCGGGGCUAAUACCGCAUAACACUCUGAAGCACAAGCUUUAGAGUCAAAGCCUUCGGGUGCUUGGGGAUGAGCUUGCGCCUUAUUAGCUAGUUGGUGGGGUAACGGCCUACCAAGGUAAUGAUGAGUAGCCGGCCUGAGAGGGUGUACGGCCACACUGGAACUGCGACACGGUCCAGACUCCUACGGGAGGCAGCAGUGGGGAAUUUUGCGCAAUGGGCGAAAGCCUGACGCAGCGACGCCGCGUGGAGGAUGACGGCCUUCGGGUUGUAAACUCCUGUCAGAGGUGAAGAAUGCCCUUCGGGGUUUGACGGUAACCUCAUAGGAAGCCCCGGCUAACUACGUGCCAGCGCCCGCGGUAAUAC